CAAUCUCGGGUCUACUUUUAUUCUGGCAGUGUGCUGAGGCAGCAGGCAGUGCUAGUUCACUCUGCAAGAAAAUCCAAUGACGUGUGAAGCUAUACACUGUGAUAAUGAGCUACUUCAGGAUUGGAUGAGAGAGAACCUCUAGAUCCUUUUCAAGUUAAUAGGAUGAAAAAAUUCAGCCUGCCAUGUUACUGAAACAAUGCAAAACACUACGUCGUCUGUCCUGAAGACUCUCCCGCUGUGGAAAACCUCUCUCACUGUUACUGCUACUGUCACUGUGACUGUGGUGAGGGAAAAACUCCCUGAGACUACAUGAGGAAGAAACCACGAAAGGAACCAGACUCAGAAGG
ensembl:lncRNA